GGAGGACAGAGUGACACAGAGGAGAGGCAUCACAGCAAACCACAGCGCGGCAGACAGGGUGUGACCUCAACGGGUAGUGGCGGGGGAUCAGCUGGGGGUCAGAUGAGGCGUAUGUACAGUGCGGUCCCAGGGCGAGUGUACGUGGCCACAAGGGCCUACACUGCCCAUGGAGACAAAGAGCUUAGCAUCAGCAAAGGAGACAAAGUCAAAGUGUUGAGUGUGGGAGAGGGGGG